rnacentral:tRNA from 1 species
GCGGGAGUGGCUCAGUGGUAGAGCGUCUCCUUGCCAAGGAGAAGGUCGCGGGUUCAAGUCCCGUCUCCCGCUCCA